CUCGUAGGCGGUUCAACAAGUUGGUCGUGAAAACCCGGAGCUCAACUCCGGGACGCCGAUCAAAACUGUUGUGACUAGAGUUCGGUAGAGGUGAGUGGAAUUCUCGGUGUAGCGGUGGAAUGCGCAGAUAUCGAGAGGAACACCAUUAGCGAAGGCGGCUCACUGGGCCGAUACUGACGCUGAGGAGCGAAAGCGUGGGGAGCAAACAGGAUUAGAUACCCUGGUAGUCC
rnacentral:rRNA from 1 species